CCUACGGGAGGCAGCAGUGAGGAAUAUUGGUCAAUGACCGAGAGGCUGAACCAGCCAAGUCGCGUGAGGGAAGACGGCCCUACGGGUUGUAAACCUCUUUUGUCGGGGAGCAAAGCGAACCACGUGUGGUUCAUUGAGAGUACCCGAAGAAAAAGCAUCGGCUAACUCCGUGCCAGCAGCCGCGGUAAUACGGAGGAUGCGAGCGUUAUCCGGAUUUAUUGGGUUUAAAGGGUGCGCAGGCGGAGGUGCAAGUCAGCGGUCAAAUUGCGGGGCUCAACCCCGUACUGCCGUUGAAACUGGAUCACUAGAGUGAGAGAGAAGUAAGCGGAAUGCGUGGUGUAGCGGUGAAAUGCAUAGAUAUCACGCAGAACUCCGAUGGCGAAGGCAGCAUACCGGCGCGCAACUGACGCUCAGGGACGAAAGCGUGGGUAUCGAACAGGAUUAGAUACCCUUGUAGUC
rnacentral:rRNA from 1 species